UACGAAGUGGGCUAGCGUUGCUCGGAAUCACUGGGCGUAAAGGGUGCGUAGGCGGGUUUUUAAGUCAGGGGUGAAAUCCUGGAGCUCAACUCCAGAACUGCCUUUGAUACUGAAGAUCUUGAGUUCGGGAGAGGUGAGUGGAACUGCGAGUGUAGAGGUGAAAUUCGUAGAUAUUCGCAAGAACACCAGUGGCGAAGGCGGCUCACUGGCCCGAUACUGACGCUGAGGCACGAAAGCGUGGGGAGCAAACAGG
rnacentral:rRNA from 1 species